UGCAUGUCUCAGUGCAAGCCGAAGUAAGGUGAAACCGCGAAUGGCUCAUUAAAUCAGUUAUGGUUCCUUAGAUGGUGCACAGUUACUUGGAUAACUGUGGUAAUUCUAGAGCUAAUACAUGCAACUCGGUCUCUACCGGAAAUGGUAGGGACGCUUUUAUUAGACCAAAACCAAUCGGGCGUUCUCGUCCGUUUUGCCUUGGUGACUCUGAAUAAAUUGUGUGCAGAUCGCACGGUCCUCGUACCGGCGACGCAUCUUUCAAAUGUCUGCCUUAUCAACUUUCGAUGGUAGGUCCUGCGCCUACCAUGGUUGUAACGGGUAACGGGGAAUCAGGGUUCGAUUCCGGAGAGGGAGCCUGAGAAACGGCUGCUACAUCCAAGGAAGGCAGCAGGCGCGCAAAUUACCCACUCCCGGCACGGGGAGGUAGUGACGACAAAUAACGAUACGGGACUCAUCCGAGGCCCCGUAAUCGGAAUGAACACACUUUAAAUCCUUUAAUGAGUAUCCAUUGGAGGGCAAGUCUGGUGCCAGCAGCCGCGGUAAUUCCAGCUCCAAUAGCGUAUAUUAAAGUUGUUGCGGUUAAAAAGCUCGUAGUCGGACUUGUGUCACACGCUGCCGGUUCACCGCCCGUCGGUGCUAACUGGCAUGCACGUGUUGACGUCCUGCUGGUGGCCGUAGCCGGUCCGGGUGUUCUGGGAUCCCUUCGGGGUUUCCCGGACCCCGGUGCUUGGUGAAGGCCUACUUGACCUACCCGUCGCGGUGCUCUUAACCGAGUGUCUCGAUGGGCCGGCACUUUUACUUUGAACAAAUUAGAGUGCUUAAAGCAGGCAGUGUCAGCCUGAAUACUGAGUGCAUGGAAUAAUGGAAUAGGACCUCGGUUCUAUUUUGUUGGUUUUCGGAAUGCCCGAGGUAAUGGUCAAUAGGGACAGACGGGGGCAUUCGUAUUGCGACGUUAGAGGUGAAAUUCUUGGAUCGUCGCAAGACGGACUAAAGCGAAAGCAUUUGCCAAGAAUGUUUUCUCUGAUCAAGAACGAAAGUUAGAGGUUCGAAGGCGAUCAGAUACCGCCCUAGUUCUAACCAUAAACGAUGCUAGCCAGCAAUCCGCCGAAGUUCCUCCGAUGACUCGGCGGGCGGCUUCCGGGAAACCAAAGCUUUUGGGUUCCGGGGGAAGUAUGGUUGCAAAGCUGAAACUUAAAGGAAUUGACGGAAGGGCACCACCAGGAGUGGAGCCUGCGGCUUAAUUUGACUCAACACGGGAAACCUCACCAGGCCCAGACACCGGGAGGAUUGACAGAUUGAGAGCUCUUUCUUGAUUCGGUGGGUGGUGGUGCAUGGCCGUUCUUAGUUGGUGGAGCGAUUUGUCUGGUUAAUUCCGAUAACGAACGAGACUCUAGCCUGCUAACUAGUCGCUCCCGGCAUCCUUUUGCGCUGCCGGCGACUUCUGAUCUUCUUAGAGGGACAGGCGGCUUCUAGCCGCACGAGAUUGAGCAAUAACAGGUCUGUGAUGCCCUUAGAUGUUCUGGGCCGCACGCGCGCUACACUGAAGGAAUCAGCGUGUCCUCCCAGGCCGAAAGGUCCGGGUAACCCGCUGAACCUCCUUCGUGCUAGGGAUUGGGGCUUGCAAUUGUUCCCCAUGAACGAGGAAUUCCCAGUAAGCGCGAGUCAUAAGCUCGCGUUGAUUACGUCCCUGCCCUUUGUACACACCGCCCGUCGCUACUACCGAUUGAAUGAUUUAGUGAGGUCUUCGGACCGGUGGGCGCGGGGGUUUUCCCUCUCGAUUCCACCGGGAAGAUGCCCAAACUUGAUCAUUUAGAGGAAGUAAAAGUCGUAACAAGGUUUCCGU
rnacentral:rRNA from 1 species